GAUGAACGCUGGCGGCGUGCCUAAUACAUGCAAGUCGAGCGAACAGACGAGGAUCUUGCUCCUCUGACGUUAGCGGCGGACGGGUGAGUAACACGUGGAUAACCUACCUAUAAGACUGGGAUAACUUCGGGAAACCGGAGCUAAUACCGGAUAAUAUAUUGAACCGCAUGGUUCAAUAGUGAAAGACGGUUUUGCUGUCACUUAUAGAUGGAUCCGCGCCGCAUUAGCUAGUUGGUAAGGUAACGGCUUACCAAGGCAACGAUGCGUAGCCGACCUGAGAGGGUGAUCGGCCACACUGGAACUGAGACACGGUCCAGACUCCUACGGGAGGCAGCAGUAGGGAAUCUUCCGCAAUGGGCGAAAGCCUGACGGAGCAACGCCGCGUGAGUGAUGAAGGUCUUCGGAUCGUAAAACUCUGUUAUUAGGGAAGAAAAAAUGUGUAAGUAACUAUGCACGUCUUGACGGUACCUAAUCAGAAAGCCACGGCUAACUACGUG
rnacentral:rRNA from 1 species